GUGCUUACCUUGCAGGAAGGUACAAUGAUCACAAAGGUGGUUUUCCCAGGGUGAGGUUUAUCCUUUGCACUCUGGAUGUGCUGACCUCUUCGAUUUCCCCAAAUGUGGCAAACUACACUUCGAAAUUUUUUUUUUUUUUUGUCUUUUGGGCCAUAC